UUAGACAAACAAAAUAGCGCAAAUGGCGAUGAGUAUAAAAAUAAAACUAACGGUUAUUUAAAAAGAAAAUUUUACAACGCAAAGUAAAAAAUAGUAAAUAACAUUAAUAAUAAUAAUAAUAAUUGCAAGUAUAUAUAAUAUAAUAAAAUGUAUGGAAAUUCAGUAAAACUACAAAAUGAGACGGCAAUCAGACACCAACAAGUGUAAUAAUAUUCGAGAGGAGGAGGAGCUAGCACAUAUGGAACGUCUCAUACAUACACACAAACACAUGCAAACACGUGAAAAAGCGGCGAACAGUGAACGCAAGAAGAAAAACAGCAAAUUAAAUAAUGAAUAAUGGAAAUGUAAUACAUAUGUAUAAUUAAAACGAACAUAUACACACAUACAUAAAUACAUACUUACAUUAUUUGCACAUGUAUUGAUGAAGUGAAUCACUAGAUGUAACCAUAAAUACAUUAAAAACAAACAACAACAAAAAGCUAAAUAAAUGCUAAAUGAGAAAACGUUUCUUAUUAUGUAAAUAAGAAGAAGAAGAAGAGAGAAGUUCAACCAAAUAUUUAAGGAAAACAAAUGUGAAAGUAAUCAUCUACAACAACAACUACAAAUACAACCGCUCCUACAACAGUUCGGCCAGCUGGCUGCGCUAAGGCGCGGCGAAUUGAGCAUACAAGAGGCAGACAAAUGGGGCAGAAGCGGUCGGCGGCAGCAAAUUCGCAUACAUGCAUACAUACGCACACACACAUACCUAAAACAUACCCACAUACAUACAUACUUAGUUAAGGCGAAAAUUUAGAAGGGGGCGAAAUAAGCGACGAAAUUAAAAAUGUAACUGCAUAAUAUGAUUGUUUAUAAAUAAUAAAUUAUUAGAUAAAAUCAAAUGAAAUGUUAAUUUUGUUUGUGUAAAACUUGCGCGCGCAGAAGAAGUUACAAGAAAGUAACACUUUGAACAUAGAAAAACAUUUAAAUCAAUUGCAAACACAAAAACAACAACUACGCCAUAAAGAUACACGCACACUCGCGCACACAAGUCUACAUACAAUACACAUA